CGGACGGGUGAGUAACACGUGGAUAACCUACCUAUAAGACUGGGAUAACUUCGGGAAACCGGAGCUAAUACCGGAUAAUACAUUGAACCGCAUGGUUCAAUAGUGAAAGACGGUUUUGAUGUCACUUAUAGAUGGAUCCGCGCCGCAUUAGCUAGUUGGUAAGGUAACAGCUUACCAAGGCAACGAUGCGUAGACGACCUGAGAGGGUGAUCGGCCACACUGGAACUGAGACACGGUCCAG
rnacentral:rRNA from 1 species